UACGUAGGGUGCGAGCGUUGUCCGGAAUUAUUGGGCGUAAAGAGCUCGUAGGCGGUGUGUCACGUCGGCCGUGAAAACCUGCAGCUUAACUGUGGGCGUGCGGUCGAUACGGGCAUCACUGGAGUUCGGCAGGGGAGACUGGAAUUCCUGGUGUAGCGGUGAAAUGCGCAGAUAUCAGGAGGAACACCGGUGGCGAAGGCGGGUCUCUGGGCAAUAACUGACGCUGAGGAGCGAAAGCGUGGGGAGCGAACAGG
rnacentral:rRNA from 1 species